rnacentral:rRNA from 1 species
UACGUAGGGUGCAAGCGUUGUCCGGAUUUAUUGGGCGUAAAGAGCGUGUAGGCGGCCACACAGGUCUGCUGUGAAAACUCGAGGCUCAACCUCGAGCUGUCGGUGGAAACCGUGUGGCUAGAGUCCGGAAGAGGAGAGUGGAAUUCCCGGUGUAGCGGUGAAAUGCGCAGAUAUCGGGAAGAACACCCGUGGCGAAGGCGGCUCUCUGGGACGGUACUGACGCUGAGACGCGAAAGCGUGGGGAGCGAACAGG